UACGUAGGGUGCGAGCGUUGUCCGGAAUUAUUGGGCGUAAAGAGCUCGUAGGCGGCCUGUUGCGUCGGUUGUGAAAGCCCGGGGCUUAACCCCGGGUCUGCAGUCGAUACGGGCAGGCUAGAGUUCGGUAGGGGAGAUCGGAAUUCCUGGUGUAGCGGUGAAAUGCGCAGAUAUCAGGAGGAACACCGGUGGCGAAGGCGGGUCUCUGGGCCGUAACUGACGCUGAGGAGCGAAAGCAUGGGGAGCGAACAGG
rnacentral:rRNA from 1 species